GGGAUCAUUAUAGAGUUUUCUAAACUCCCAACCCAUGUGAACUUACCUUUUGUUGCCUCGGCAGAAGUUAUAGGUCUUCUUAUAGCUGCUGCCGGUGGACCAUUAAACUCUUGUUAUUUUAUGUAAUCUGAGCGUCUUAUUUUAAUAAGUCAAAACCUUCAACAACGGAUCUCUUGGUUCUGGCAUCGAUGAAGAACGCAGCGAAAUGCGAUAAGUAAUGUGAAUUGCAGAAUUCAGUGAAUCAUCGAAUCUUUGAACGCACAUUGCGCCCAUUAGUAUUCUAGUGGGCAUGCCUGUUCGAGCGUCAUUUCAACCCUUAAGCCUAGCUUAGUGUUGGGAAUCUACUUCUCUUAGGAGUUGUAGUUCCUGAAAUACAACGGCGGAUUUGUAGUAUCCUCUGAGCGUAGUAAUUUUUUUCUCGCUUUUGUUAGGUGCUAUAACUCCCAGCCGCUAAACCCCCAAUUUUUUGUGGUUGACCUCGGAUCAGGUAGGAAUACCCGCUGAACUUAAGCAUAUCAAUAAGCGGAGGAAAAGAAACCAACAGGGAUUGCCUUAGUAACGGCGAGUGAAGCGGCAACAGCUCAAAUUUGAAAUCUGGCUUCGGCCCGAGUUGUAAUUUGUAGAGGAUGCUUUUGGUGCGGUGCCUUCUGAGUUCCCUGGAACGGGACGCCNUAGAGGGUGAGAGCCCCGUAUAGUUGGACACCAAGCCUCUGUAAAGCUCCUUCGACGAGUCGAGUAGUUUGGGAAUGCUGCUCAAAAUGGGAGGUAAAUGCCUUCUAAAGCUAAAUACUGGCCAGAGACCGAUAGCGCACAAGUAGAGUGAUCGAAAGAUGAAAAGCACUUUGAAAAGAGGGUUAAACAGCACGUGAAAUUGUUGAAAGGGAAGCGCUUAUGACCAGACUUGCGCCAGGUGGAUCAUCCAGCGUUCUCGCUGGUGCACUCUGCCUGGUUCAGGCCAGCAUCGGUUUUUCUAGGGGGAUAAAGGCUCUGGGAACGUAGCUCCUCCGGGAGUGUUAUAGCCCUAAGCACAAUACCCCUGGGGGGACCGAGGU
rnacentral:rRNA from 1 species